CAAUGGCAACAGUCCUUUUUCAGGAACCUCCUCAACCAAUGGAGUUUUUGGAAACAAUAGCACUGGGAUUAACCCGGACUACACGACAGAGAGCAGCGCGUUUGCUCUCAGGAACUCAAGCACAUUUCUCACCUACCUUCUCUUGAUCGCUUUGAGUGGAUUCUGUUCUUUCAUGAUGCUCUAAGAAUGUUAACUUUCUCUGGUUUUGUUGGUGAACUUAUUGUCUCAAAGGACAUUGAGUCUAGCUUAGUGGUAAUCGCUGUCUGGCUGUUUUGAGUCUCUCUAGCUAUGUUAUGUUCUUGUUGUAAGAAGAUUUCAGCUCAUGCUUUCACUCUUACUCUCUCAAACUGUUUCUGGUAGAUUUGAUCGUAGUGAAGAAAUUUAUAUAUAAAAUGAUCUUAUCUCAUGUUUACUAUUAGAAGCAAAUGUUGCAUAGUUACCAAACAUAUCUUUAUUUCUACUUUUGAAAAUAAUUUGAAAACGUUAAGAAAGUUUCGAGUCUUCUUCUUGACACGACAUCUCUUACUCUCUUCCAAAACGUUCAGCCCUCAUGUGUUCUUGUCACGAUCUUAUCGCACGCUCACUCCUCUGAUCCCGUAUAACGUAUACGACAGACAAAGAGGACAAGCACAGUACAGGUGUGAGGAAUCCCCUUUAUGCCCUCUAUCUUUUUUAUCGACUGACAAAGAUCAUGCACAUGAGCUUCACGUGUUCUUCAUAUUUGCAUUUUGGGUUUGAACCCUCUGUUCUACUUAGAGUCUCUUGACACGUCCCGUAUAGAGAUGUGUUUACCCAUUCCGUACAGCGGCGGAUUAGUUAUCGAGCGGAUCACAACGGGCCUAUCCCGCGCGGACUGCAUCUUCAAAAUGGCGACCCAAACCCAUACCGCAUAAUAUAUAGGCUUUCACGGGCCGUCCCGGGGGACGCUUUCUUAGCAAACCGCUUGUGCUACAGCUUCUUUCAUGAAUGUUCAAAUAAAAGAGUUGUGUAAGAGAAAUGAAGAGAGCUCAUUAAGCUUCACUAAAACCUUAUCAAAAUAAAUACCACAAAGUUCUGUUUGUGCUUGCGUUCUUGAGUUAAAAUCCUUCUUUUGUUAUCAACAUAAGCUUUUGUUAAAUUUGAAUCUGAUUGAAUUGUUGUCUUUGUAAUAAUUUGGCUCAAGUGUUGUAUGUCUUCAUCAAACCAUCUCUCUUUUUAAUUAUUCGGAUUGCAAAAAAAUUCGUGAAUCACUUUGCCAAAUUAUACAAGUGACGCGAUAUAAAACUAAUUUUUUUCAUAAACAACACCAUUGGUAACCAAAUUUAAUUUAAGAAAAACACCACUUCACACUACUAGAAAUAAAAUCAAUCAACUUAAACAAGAAAUAUCACAUUGUAAUAAAGCAAUUCAUAGUUGUGUGUAAUAAAAAGAGAAAACCAAACCAAAACACCACCAAAGCUCGAAUCGUCGUCGCUGGAGCUAGUGUCGUCAUCGCCGGAACUCGAAUCAUCAUCACCGAACUCGAAUCAUUAUCAUCAGAACUCCUUAUGUAUUUUAGGGAAAAAGUCACAAGAAUAGUUUUCUUCUUACUCUCUACCUCGUUUUUUUAGGUAAAAGAAAACAUGAAAAAAGCCCAGUCCCGCAAAGACCCAUUCUGCGAGGCCCGCAAAUUUACGGUUUUAGAAAACUUCAUCCCAAUACCGUUUUACAACAGUUUUUUACAGACCAAGUUCGAGUUCUAGAUCCAUGAUUGUCAUCUCUAGUCUCGUACGUUGGUAGACUCAUUGUAUACUUCUCGCAUACUCCAAAUAUCGAAUCAUAGACUCCAAAUAUCGAAUCAUAGGGUAAAUUGUCGCAUUAUGCAAAAGCGUAUAUAUACUCACAUGCCUUUUUUUUUUACAGAGUUACUUGUUAUAUCAAACAUAUUUACUAUUAACAAAAGUUAAUAAUAAAAAGUUAUAGCAAAUAUUUAGAUUUGGAAGUCUCCUAUACACCACUCAUUUUUCAGGCAGUAGUGUAUUUGGUGUGGAAGGAAAGGAACCAGAGAAUUCAUUCAGCUUUGGAGAAGCCGCCAGGUACUCUUAUUAGAGAAGUUCAGCAGAUAGUGAGACUCAGAUUGGAUCUUCUGACCCGUAGACAGAUUAUUCCUUCGGGACAGAACUCAUUGCUGGCAACAUGGUUCUUGUCCUUUGAUUUUUGAAGCAGAAGCUCUUGGUGGAGUUAGGAGUUAAGUUAAGAGUAGUGGCUUUAGAUUUGGUCGGGCCUGUUAGUUUGCUUUAUUUUACAGGGCCUUCCCUGCACUAUUGUAUAAAGUUAAGAUGAAUAAAGAUCCAGUUUCUAAAAAAAAAAAAAAAAAAAAAAAAAAGACUAUAUAGCAUUUUUGGAAUAAAAUCCAAAAAAAAAAUGGAAUAUAUGCAGCUAGUCAAACUAGUGAAGAAAAAGUAGAGAGAGUAGAAAAGAGUGUCACGUCGAUAUCUGAUAGGCUAGCAGAAGAAGAAGAAAAUCUGCUCAAAGAUCACCAAUCAAUCAAUAUCUCAUGAUUUACUUACAUAUGGGGUUUCAUGUAAGUUCCAAGAAAACAAGGGUCCGUUUUUCAUUUAAGUGAAAGGUUUGGGCAGUUAUUGCAAAUUAUCUAUUUUAAAUGUAUUUCUUCUUCCGUGUGACUUUUUUUUUUUUAAUUCCACCCAGUCUCUCUCUAUCUCACUGGUCCCUCAAGUCCCCCACCUUCCUCCUUCAACACGCUUUCUCUCUCUAAAACCCCUUUCUUCACUCUAAAGUUCCAAACUUUCCUUCUGGUUUUCUCAUAUUAGGGCUUUUCUCAGCUCACAGCGGCAGUAUGGUAUGUUGAAUCACUCUCUCUGUCUUUACCUGACCUCGUCUGCUCUGCUUUCGUUGUGUGGAUAAUCAUCAAUGUAUUAACUUUUUUUUUGUUUGCUGGAACCCUUUUAAUUGUACAGGUUACUCAGGAUGCACCUUCCCUACUAGUGCCAGGUUAUACUUCUGAUUCAAAUGGCUUUUCAAGAAUUUGAUUUCUAUAUUUGUGGCAAAGAGUACCAAGUGGACUAAAGCUUGAUUUGGGUCCAAGUUUGCAACUCUUUUUUUUGUUUUGUUGUGAAAGAGAUAGGAUCACAUUCAAAUCAAUUAAGGAUAGCAAACAUCAUCAUUAAUAUUACUUGAACCAAUAAAUAAAUAAAUAAAUUUUUGAUUUGAAGUUUCAUCAAGGUCUGGUUAUAAACUCAUUUAACCAGAUUCAUUAAUGCCUCAAAGUAGUUGUUACCUGUCUGAUAUUCUCUUUUAUGUGUUGUUGCUUUUUUAUUUUCUCUAGUGGCUCCGGUGGCAGCACCACUGUGACACCAGGCACAACCAAUCCAAAAGGCGGCAGCACCACACUUCCUGGUGGCAAUGGCAACAGUCCUUUUUCAGGAACCUCCUCAACCAAUGGAGUUUUUGGAAACAAUAGCACUGGGAUUAACCCGGACUACACGACAGAGAGCAGCGCGUUUGCUCUCAGGAACUCAAGCACAUUUCUCACCUACCUUCUCUUGAUCGCUUUGAGUGGAUUCUGUUCUUUCAUGAUGCUCUAAGAAUGUUAACUUUCUCUGGUUUUGUUGG
rnacentral:lncRNA from 1 species